ACUCAAAGGAAUUGACGGGGGCCCGCACAAGCGGUGGAGCAUGUGGUUCAAUUCGAUGCAACGCGAAGAACCUUACCUGGUCUUGACAUGUAUUGGAAGACUACCAGAGAUGGUGUCGCCUUCGGGCCGAUACACAGGUGCUGCAUGGCUGUCGUCAGCUCGUGUCGUGAGAUGUUGGGUUAAGUCCCGCAACGAGCGCAACCCUUGCCUUUAGUUGCCAGCAUUAAGUUGGGCACUCUAGAGGGACUGCCGACGUUAAGUCGGAGGAAGGUGGGGAUGACGUCAAGUCCUCAUGGCCUUUAUGACCAGGGCCACACACGUGCUACAAUGGUCGGUACAGUGGGCAGCCAAGUGGCAACACGGAGCAAAUCCCAUAAAACCGAUCUAAGUUCGGAUAGGAGUCUGCAACUCGACUCCUUGAAGCUGGAAUCGCUAGUAAUCGUGGAUCAGCACGCCACGGUGAAUACGUUCCCGGGCCUUGUACACACCGCCCGU
rnacentral:rRNA from 1 species